rnacentral:rRNA from 1 species
ACCGGCGAGUAAUGUCGCCCUUCCUACGGGACAGGGGAGACAGGUGGUGCAUGGUUGUCGUCAGCUCGUGUCGUGAGAUGUUGGGUUAAGUCCCGCAACGAGCGCAACCCCUAUCUUCAGUAGCCAGCAUCAAGGAUGGGCACUCUGGAGAGACUGCCAGGGACAACCUGGAGGAAGGUGGGGACGACGUCAAAUCAUCAUGCCCCUUAUGACCAGGGCUACACACGUGCUACAAUGGCGUAAACAAAGGGAAGCGAACAUGUGAGUGCGAGCAAAUCCCAGAAAUAACGUCUCAGUUCGGAUUGUAGUCUGCAACUCGACUACAUGAAGCUGGAAUCGCUAGUAAUCGCGAAUCAGAAUGUCGCGGUGAAUACGUUCCCGGGCCUUGUACACACCGA